rnacentral:rRNA from 1 species
GACGAACCACACGAACGUUAUUCGGAAUCACUGGGCUUAAAGGGUGCGUAGGCGGCGCGGAAAGUAGGGUGUGAAAUCCCUCGGCUUAACCGAGGAAUUGCGCUCUAAACUACCGUGCUCGAGGGAGGUAGAGGUGAGCGGAACUUAGGGUGGAGCGGUGAAAUGCGUUGAUAUCCUAAGGAACACCGGUGGCGAAAGCGGCUCACUGGAUCUCUUCUGACGCUGAGGCACGAAAGCUAGGGUAGCGAACGGG